UUUUGUGAUACCAGCGACAGAACUCUGCAAACAUCUCUGCUUCGCAGCUGGCAUCCUGUUGGAUUUUUCCAGUAGAGGGAAGCUUCCAUGCUGCAGGAAGAAGGGGCGUGCUCCUUCCCGUUCCUGUCAGCACUGCUGCAGCAGUUUGCUCUCACAGCUGCAUGUGAUCCCAGCUGCCAUUUCUGACCUGCUCAGAACCAGCUUCAUGAUGGGCUCAAAGACCCAGGACCAGCUCUGGCAUGUACACGUGGCCACGGUACCCUUCGUACAACACGGGAAGAGAACAACAGGACGCCCAAGAGGCAUCUGGACAGCACACAGCAAACAGAAAGGCUGAACGCCCCCCCAUGGAACCCCAUUAAAAAACAAUGUUUGUCUAUUACAAA
rnacentral:lncRNA from 1 species